rnacentral:rRNA from 1 species
AUACGUAGGGGGCGAGCGUUGUCCGGAAUGAUUGGGCGUAAAGGGCGCGUAGGCGGCCCGGUAAGUCUGGAGUGAAAGUCCUGUUUUUAAGAUGGGAAUUGCUUUGGAUACUGUCGGGCUUGAGUGCAGGAGAGGUAAGUGGAAUUCCCAGUGUAGCGGUGAAAUGCGUAGAGAUUGGGAGGAACACCAGUGGCGAAGGCGACUUACUGGACUGUAACUGACGCUGAGGCGCGAAAGUGUGGGGAGCAAACAGGAUUAGAUACCCUGGUAGUCCACACUGUAAACGAUGAAUGCUAGGUGUAGGGGGUAUCGACCCCUUCUGUGCCGCAGUUAACACAAUAAGUAUUCCGCCUGGGGAGUACGGCCGCAAGGCUAAAACUCAAAUGAAUUGACGGGG